UGGGGAAUAUUGCACAAUGGGGGAAACCCUGAUGCAGCGACGCCGCGUGGAGGAAGAAGGUCUUCGGAUUGUAAACUCCUGUUGUUGAGGAAGAUAAUGACGGUACUCAACAAGGAAGUGACGGCUAACUACGUGCCAGCAGCCGCGGUAAAACGUAGGUCACAAGCGUUGUCCGGAAUUACUGGGUGUAAAGGGAGCGCAGGCGGGAGAACAAGUUGGAAGUGAAAUCCAUGGGCUCAACCCAUGAACUGCUUUCAAAACUGUUUUUCUUGAGUAGUGCAGAGGUAGGCGGAAUUCCCGGUGUAGCGGUGGAAUGCGUAGAUAUCGGGAGGAACACCAGUGGCGAAGGCGGCCUACUGGGCACCAACUGACGCUGAGGCUCGAAAGUGUGGGUAGCAAACAGGAUUAGAUACCCUGGUAGUCCACACCGUAAACGAUGAUUACUAGGUGUUGGAGGAUUGACCCCUUCAGUGCCGCAGUUAACACAAUAAGUAAUCCACCUGGGGAGUACGACCGCAAGGUUGAAACUCAAAGGAAUUGACGGGGGCCCGCACAAGCAGUGGAGUAUGUGGUUUAAUUCGACGCAACGCGAAGAACCUUACCAAGUCUUGACAUCCUGCGACGCACAUAGAAAUAUGUGUUUCCUUCGGGACGCAGAGACAGGUGGUGCAUGGUUGUCGUCAGCUCGUGUCGUGAGAUGUUGGGUUAAGUCCCGCAACGAGCGCAACCCUUAUGGUCAGUUACUACGCAAGAGGACUCUGGCCAGACUGCCGUUGACAAAACGGAGGAAGGUGGGGAUGACGUCAAAUCAUCAUGCCCUUUAUGACUUGGGCUACACACGUACUACAAUGGCGUUAAACAAAGAGAAGCAAGACCGCGAGGUGGAGCAAAACUCAGAAACAACGUCCCAGUUCGGACUGCAGGCUGCAACUCGCCUGCACGAAGUCGGAAUUGCUAGUAAUCGCAGAUCAGCAUGCUGCGGUGAAUACGUUCCC
rnacentral:rRNA from 1 species